rnacentral:rRNA from 1 species
GUGGAUCAGUGGCGAACGGGUGAGUAACACGUGAGUAACCUGCCCUUGACUCUGGGAUAAGCGUUGGAAACGACGUCUAAUACCGGAUACGAGCUUCCGCCGCAUGGUGAGGAGUUGGAAAGAAUUUUGGUCAAGGAUGGACUCGCGGCCUAUCAGCUUGUUGGUGAGGUAAUGGCUCACCAAGGCGACGACGGGUAGCCGGCCUGAGAGGGUGACCGGCCACACUGGGACUGAGACACGGCCCAGACUCCUACGGGAGGCAGCAGUGGGGAAUAUUGCACAAUGGGCGCAAGCCUGAUGCAGCAACGCCGCGUGAGGGAUGACGGCCUUCGGGUUGUAAACCUCUUUUAGUAGGGAAGAAGCGAAAGUGACGGUACCUGCAGAAAAAGCACCGGCUAACUACGUGCCAGCAGCCGCGGUAAUACGUAGGGUGCAAGCGUUGUCCGGAAUUAUUGGGCGUAAAGAGCUCGUAGGCGGUUUGUCGCGUCUGCUGUGAAAACUGGAGGCUCAACCUCCAGCCUGCAGUGGGUACGGGCAGACUAGAGUGCGGUAGGGGAGAUUGGAAUUCCUGGUGUAGCGGUGGAAUGCGCAGAUAUCAGGAGGAACACCGAUGGCGAAGGCAGAUCUCUGGGCCGUAACUGACGCUGAGGAGCGAAAGCGUGGGGAGCGAACAGGAUUAGAUACCCUGGUAGUCCACGCCGUAAACGUUGGGAACUAGAUGUGGGGACCAUUCCACGGUCUCCGUGUCGCAGCUAACGCAUUAAGUUCCCCGCCUGGGGAGUACGGCCGCAAGGCUAAAACUCAAAGGAAUUGACGGGGGCCCGCACAAGCGGCGGAGCAUGCGGAUUAAUUCGAUGCAACGCGAAGAACCUUACCAAGGCUUGACAUAUACGAGAACGGGCCAGAAAUGGUCAACUCUUUGGACACUCGUAAACAGGUGGUGCAUGGUUGUCGUCAGCUCGUGUCGUGAGAUGUUGGGUUAAGUCCCGCAACGAGCGCAACCCUCGUUCUAUGUUGCCAGCACGUUAUGGUGGGAACUCAUAGGAGACUGCCGGGGUCAACUCGGAGGAAGGUGGGGAUGACGUCAAAUCAUCAUGCCCCUUAUGUCUUGGGCUUCACGCAUGCUACAAUGGCCGGUACAAAGGGCUGCAAUACCGUAAGGUGGAGCGAAUCCCAAAAAGCCGGUCUCAGUUCGGAUUGAGGUCUGCAACUCGACCUCAUGAAGUCGGAGUCGCUAGUAAUCGUGGAUCAGCAACGCCACGGUGAAUACGUUCCCGGGCCUUGUACACACCGCCCGUCAAGUCAUGAAAGUCGGUAACACCCAA